GACGAACGCUGGCGGCGUGCUUAACACAUGCAAGUCGAACGGAAAGGCCCUGCUUUUGUGGGGUGCUCGAGUGGCGAACGGGUGAGUAACACGUGAGUAACCUGCCCUUGACUUUGGGAUAACUUCAGGAAACUGGGGCUAAUACCGGAUAGGAGCUCCUGCUGCAUGGUGGGGGUUGGAAAGUUUCGGCGGUUGGGGAUGGACUCGCGGCUUAUCAGCUUGUUGGUGGGGUAGUGGCUUACCAAGGCUUUGACGGGUAGCCGGCCUGAGAGGGUGACCGGCCACAUUGGGACUGAGAUACGGCCCAGACUCCUACGGGAGGCAGCAGUGGGGAAUAUUGCACAAUGGGCGGAAGCCUGAUGCAGCAACGCCGCGUGCGGGAUGACGGCCUUCGGGUUGUAAUCCGCUUUCGCCUGUGACGAAGCGUGAGUGACGGUAAUGGGUAAAGAAGCACCGGCUAACUACGU
rnacentral:rRNA from 1 species